rnacentral:lncRNA from 1 species
CGCACUUAAUUCUAAUCAGUCAACAUGCACCUUAAUUUAUUUUUCAAGUCAAGACUAUAUAGAGCACACUUCACUAUUUGCAGAUGGAGUACACUCACCGACUGUACUCCGCAUUACAGCAGCACGCGCGCUCCGCUUAUGUUAAUUAGCUGCGCGCGACCAUGGUGUUUAUGAUCCAUGGGUCGACCAAGUUUAUGUAUGAACAAUGCAAAACAACACGGAAUGCAACAUGGCAAACAUUCUAUAUUGCUAUUGCGACCAUAUAUAAACUUGAUCUGCAGAGUGUUUUCACGGCGGCUAUGUUUGGGAAAAAGUUAAAGUGCCGAAAUACAAGUUAACAAGAAAACCAUUAUUUAAAAAUACUUGUCCGUCGACAAAGCAACACGUGAAAACACUCUAUUUUUCCUGGCGGUCUUUUCGGCUGAAAACUUAUAGUACAAUUUAUAAAGCGCGCAUUAGCAACCUAAAGAAACGAGCCCAUUCUCCACUUUGGAGCGAGAACUACGUUUCUUAUCGUUAAGCUCCUAAUCCAAGAUAUUUUAGGCAGAAAAUUGUUUCUUUUUUGUUGUUGUUUUUUUCUGCAACAAGUAUUCUUGGACUAUUGUUGCUUAUAUUCAAAGUAGUUUCGCGGUUUUCUUUUUUAUUCCUCUUUUUCGCAAUAUUUUUUAUUUCUCUUUUUCGCAAUAUUUUCUUUUUUAUUUCUCUUUUUCGCAAUAUUUUCUUUUUUCCACUUUGAAUUGAUUCUGUAAGUAUUUUUCAACAGGAAAACAGAUUCCAUUUUCCUGCUGUGUUAAAUACUUCUCAGAAUGUUACUGGCGCAAAAGUAUGACGAUAAUGAAUUAUAGUAUACAUGCCGUAUAGUAUACAUGCAAAGCGCGCUAUUUCUAGCUGUCUAACCUUCCUAACUAGUGCGCGCGCACAUAUCAUUUCAAAAACCUGCAAGGGAAACCCCCGAAUGUGGAGUCUCGGUCAUGCCCCUAGCUUAACUUAACUUAACUUAACCUAGUGUGCCGGUUGCACCUGAUGAGCUUCCACAAACAGGGGUAAGGUUUGCAUGCCUUAUGGUAAUGUCUUUCAUCGUCGAGCCGCCAUGACAGAGAGGGGACCUAAUCUCUGGUAGCGAACUGUUUUCAUAUAACUCGGGGCAGAAAACCAACGUUCGAAACCAGCGAUAUACAUGCACUACGGCCUUAUCACUAAAGCGUAGACUGUUUAUCAUUACAAUAAUUAUUUCAUUACAG